rnacentral:rRNA from 1 species
GACGAACGCUGGCGGCGUGCUUAACACAUGCAAGUCGAGCGGUAAGGCCCUUUCGGGGGUACACGAGCGGCGAACGGGUGAGUAACACGUGGGUGACCUGCCCUCAGCUCUGGGAUAAGCCUGGGAAACCGGGUCUAAUACCGGAUAUGACUCCAUGACGCAUGUUGUGGGGUGAAAGCCUUGUGCGGCUGAGGAUGGGCCCGCGGCCUAUCAGCUUGUUGGUGGGGUGAUGGCCUACCAAGGCGACGACGGUAGCCGGCCUGAGAGGGCGACCGGCCACACUGGGACUGAGACACGGCCCAGACUCCUACGGGAGGCAGCAGUGGGGAAUCUUGCGCAAUGGGCGAAAGCCUGACGCAGCGACGCCGCGUGAGGGAUGACGGCCUGG